GAAAACUAUUUCAUUUCACCAUAAACACGCAACAAAGUACUACCGCCGAAAGUAGUUUUGAAUUUGACCGCGAAAAUAAUUUUAGACAUAUGAGUACAUCUUAUUACAAUCUUCACAUCAGAUGUGGCUACAAUGUUUGUUUACUUCUUCACAAAAUUUUGUAAAUUAUUAACAUUUAUUACACUUCUAAAGCAUUUUAGGCGAUUAAAGAACAAGUCCCAUUGGGAAAAUGAUCACUUAUUUACACAAUCAUAAACCGAGUUAGUAAAAAAAUCAAAAUUUUAGAUGACACAAAAUAUUUCCGCACAAUAAUUUAGCUUUAAACUGGUUUAGGAGAAUUUGUCGAAAUUUUUAUUAAUUUUAUUAA